GAGAGUUCAUAGUACGUGAAACCGUUUAGGGGCAAACCUGAGAAACCCGAAAGAUCGAAGGGGGAGAUUCAGCGUGACUCGUCGUGAGCGCGCCGCAUUCGGAUGACAAUGUCGUACGCGACGCUUGCUCCUUGUGUGGCCGUCUUGUGUCGAAUGCGUGCACUUCUCCCCUAGUAGGACGUCGCGACCCGUUGGGUGUCGGUCUACGGCUUGCGGUGCAGCCCGUGCGUGUCGGCUUCGGUCGUGCGCGCGGACCCGUGAUGUCCUGGCCGACGCUUGACGGUGGAAUGAUGGCGCAGAGUCGCGGCUUGCCCGCGUUCGGCCCAGCGCAAGCGCAUUCGGUUACUCGUACGUCGGCACUGUCCGACCUCGGGGCCGGCUGGCUGCUGGCGUUGGUGUUCCCGGACAGUCUCUGUUCACGCCAGUCUGCGGCGCUAUAGCUUUGGGUACUUUCAGGACCCGUCUUGAAACACGGACCAAGGAGUCUAGCAUGUGCGCGAGUCAUUGGGACUAUCGAAUCCUAAAGGCGCAAUGAAAGUGAACGCGAGCUCGCGCUCGACUUAGGGAAGAUGGGUGAGCGGAAGCCACCUCGCACUCCCGGGGCGUCUCGUUCUCAUUGCGAGAAGAGGCGCACCUAGAGCGUACAUGCUGGGACCCGA
rnacentral:rRNA from 1 species